GUUUACAACACUGUCAUACUAAUCUGCCCCAAGUGGAUCCACCUUCUAGCUGCCCAAGCUCUCCAAUGGCAUGACGUCAGGGACGGUGGAAUCAACCAUAGCAGUAGCCGAGGAUGCACUUUGAGUCUCUACCGGGGAGCAUGGACUUAUGCACGUCCAAAUCCGUGCGGUAGCAUUUCGUCGAACACAUGGCAGGCGCUGGUGUGGUCAGCUCGGGAACGGCGGCCGCAAGGUCACGAAGCCUCCAAAGACACUAAAUCUGGUGAGCGCCGUGGCCGCCAGGACGACCUCUGCGUGUAGAACACCAGCAGCCACAGCGCGGCCAGCCAAGAUGAUUGAUUGCAGGUCGUGUGGCCGCCAUGUGCAGCAGGCCACAGUUCUGCACGGUCCCCGGGGUGGGUUCCAAGGGGGGGGUGGUGGUGGUGACCGCGUUAACACGAAGAGUGGCAGCAGCAACGCCAUGGUUCGCGCCCUUGUGCGCCACAGUCGCCUGCGCACAAGAGAUGCAUGCAACUGCCUGCUCUGUGGCCGCCAUUUGCCGCGCCCCAGGACAUCCUGAAGGCGCGCGAUCUCAGCCAAUGUAGCAUCCAUUGCUGUUCAUCGAAGAAAACCUGAGAAGUUGCAGCGCGAACCAAAUUGACGGGGAAACAUAUUGGGGGGAAAUUUUGGUUCAAUUUUUUUUUCGCGGGAUUCUCUGGCUCUGAAACCAAAUUGUAAUAUGCCGUGGCCACGGCGAUCGCCGGACGUGAGGUAGAUAGGUGCUAGGUCUGCCUUUUGGAUUUGCAGAGGAACCAAAAGGGGAAGGACGAGCAAGACGGGAAGUGGAACACGGGAGCAACCCCGGUUCGGUUCAUCAGCUCUGUUCGUUCGAUGAACGGCCACUAAUCCAAGCCCAGCAGGCCCAAGGCCCAUGUCCACCAACUGCGGCCUGAGGAGUGAGGACUGAGGAGGGCGAGGCGGUGGAGGAUUCCGGCGCGGGACGGGAAGAGGACUGGACGAGCUCCAGAUCUGGGGAUGGAGAAUCGAAUGCGAUUGCGAAUGGGGCUCCGAACUCCGGCUGGGAUUCGAGGCUUUCUGGGACCAACUCGACGGAGGGUGGCACAGCAAGGGAGGCGACGCUCCCCAACCGAUCGAGGGGGCGACGGACGGAGGCGGCGCGGCGCGGUGGGUGUUCCCUCCUGCGAGAUCAGAGUCUUGUUCCCUCUUGGCUGUCGACGAAGGCGACGGCGGUCCCGCCACGAUCUGGUGGCGGCGGGGACGGUAUAAAUCCGACGAAACAACGUGGCGCAGGGUAACAAGGUGAUCGGGGUUUAUGACAAAUUCUGAAGACUUAGCGCCCGCCUUUUAGAAAGAAAAAAAGUAAAAGGAAAUCAGCACGGGUGUAUCAUAUCACCUUGGAGAUGGUUCCUUUUUAGAUCAAGCAUCAUGAGGCUUGAGCAGCCUGCCAGGGCCUCAGGGAUGCUUCCGUGGAGAGAGUUCACGCUCAAGUUGAGCUCCUGGAGCCUGGUGAGGCGGCCAAGCUCCGGUGGUAUCAGACCAGCGAGGUGGUUGUCGCCGAGGUCCAGCUCCCGGAGAAAGGAUAGGUUUCCCAGGAAUGGCGAGACAGGUCCCAACAGGUUGGCAGAAUGGAAGCGCAGCGCGACCACCCUCUCCGGGUGCUUCUCACCGCAAAGGAUACCUGGCCAGCGGCAGUAGCGGCCGGACCCGUUCCAUGAGGCCAGCAGCGAGGCUCCUGAUGACAGCGUGGACUUGAAGGAGAGGAGAGCGAGCUCGUCGUCAGUGGUCGUGUUCGCGUUGGCUCCUCUGGCUGGAGAGGAGGGCGGUUGAGCAUGGGAGUCGGAGAGGAGCGUGCAGUGGCACAGCAGCAAGGGGAAGACCAAGACGAACAAUGCUGGUGCUCCGGUCAUACUGGGGGCUGCUGUUGCUUCACCCAGGAAGGAGAACAGGUAUAAAUAGAUGAUAGAUGCUGACAAAUAUGUUAUAUUGUGCUUGUAUGAAAGUUUUUCCACUCGUGAUCAUGAGUACAUAACAAACAGUCCACACAAUGUUAUAUAGUA